rnacentral:rRNA from 1 species
GCAAGUCGAACGCGAACGAAAUCUUCGGAUUUCAAGUAGAGUGGCGCACGGGUGAGUAACACGUGGAUAACCUGCCCUAGAGUCUGGGAUAACACUUCGAAAGAGGUGCUAAUACCGGAUAAGCCCACGCCUUCUUUGGAAGAAGUGGGAAAAGAUUUAUUGCUCUAGGAUGGGUCCGCGGUCCAUUAGCUAGUUGGUGGGGUAAUGGCCUACCAAGGCUGCGAUGGAUAGCUGGUCUGAGAGGAUGAUC